GAUGAACGCUGGCGGCGUGCCUAAUACAUGCAAGCCGAGCGAACGGACGAGAAGCUUGCUUCUCUGAUGUUAGCGGCGGACGGGUGAGUAACACGUGGAUAACCUACCUAUAAGACUGGGAUAACUUCGGGAAACCGGAGCUAAUACCGGAUGAUAUUUUGAACCGCAUGGUUCAAAAGUGAAAGACGGUCUUGCUGUCACUUAUAGAUGUAUCCGCGCUGCAUUAGCUAGUUGGUAAGGUAACGGCUUACCAAGGCAACGAUGCAUAGCCGACCUGAGAGGGUGAUCGGCCACACUGGAACUGAGACACGGUCCAGACUCCUACGGGAGGCAGCAGUAGGGAAUCUUCCGCAAUGGGCGAAAGCCUGACGGAGCAACGCCGCGUGAGUGAUGAAGGUCUUCGGAUCGUAAAACUCUGUUAUUAGGGAAGAACAUAUGUGUAAGUAACUGUGCACAUCUUGACGGUACCUAAUCAGAAAGCCACGGCUAACUACGUG
rnacentral:rRNA from 1 species